CAAAUACUCCCUCCGUUCGGAAUUACUUGUCGCAGAAAUGAAUGUAUCUAGACGUAUUUUAGUUCUAGAUACAUCCAUUUCCGAGACAAGUAAUUCCGAACGGAGGAAGUAUUAC
rnacentral:pre_miRNA from 1 species